rnacentral:rRNA from 1 species
AUGAACGCUAGCGGCGUGGAUAAGGCAUGCAAGUCAAACGGUUCCGCAGCAAUGCGGAAUAGUGGCGAACGGGUUAGUAACACGUAGAUACUAACCCCACUCACGGGCAUAACUCCGCGAAAGCGGAGCUAAUUCCCGAUGGUCCCUGAAGCCGUAAGGCCGAAGGGUAAAGGCGUAAGCCGGAAUGGGAUUGGUCUGCGUCCUAUCAGCUAGUUGGCAGGGUAAUGGCCUACCAAGGCUACGACGGGUAGGGGGCAUGAGAGUGUGUUCCCCAACAAUGGCACUGCGAUACGGGCCAUACUCCUACGGGAGGCAGCAGUCGAGAAUAUUCGACAAUGGGCGAAAGCCUGAUCGAGCGACGCCGCGUACUUGAAGAAGCCCUUCGGGGUGUAAAGAGUUUUUUUCGUUGAAGAAGUCGCAAGACUGACAGUAAACGGAGAAUAAGGGGCUGCUAAUCACGU